rnacentral:lncRNA from 1 species
GGGGAAUUGUACAUUAUGUGUGUGAAUUAUCAGCAAAUAGAAAGUCCACAACUCAAACCAUCGUUAUGCUCUUGCCAAGGUAUCUUUGAAGAACCGUUAGGGUUGCCACUUGAAAGACCUCAACCAUAAUGUUUUCUUAAAAUCAGGAUUCUAAUCAAUCAACCUAAGAUCAUAUACGUUCACUCACUUCUUACACCUAUCUCAUCCUUACACUGCCUUAGAAGUAGCUAAAACGUAUUUAGAA